GAGAGGAGGGCGCAUAUGUGCGAAGCAUAUAUUUAGGAUGCGCCCGACGAUAUACCACAGAGCGAAAGCGAUGUGGUGACACCCGAG
ncrna:unclassified sequences GA-cis RNA